UUGAGCUAACCAAUACUAAUUGCCCGUGAGGCUUGACCAUAUAACACCCAAGCAAUU
rnacentral:rRNA from 5 species